AUCUUUGUGUAGUGGCAGUAUUGUAGCCAAUGAAGUUUAACUGAGGUGUGGUUGUUGCUUAUUGAAAACUUCCCAAUAUCCUGCUAUGGUGACUUACAACAAAGUUGCUAUUAGCAAUUUUUGGUAGUUUCUUAGGAGA